GGGCAGCGUCGGUCAAGGCCAGGGCCUCCCCAGGAGCAUUGAAAAGAGUCUGCUCACACCUGUGGGUUCAGGUAGGAUAUAACAGAUUCACGGUUUACUGCUGCUGCUGAUGCUCCUGGGGUCAAGACCUCAUAGACAGAUGCUGGCGGAGACUCUAGACUCUGAGAGAGGAGGGAGUUCCAGAUCCAUCCCAGAUGCAGUGUUGAGUUUCCUCCACUGUGAGACAGUGUUGGAGAGACCCAGAGUUGAAGUUCAAACCACACGUGAG